CUUAGAGUGACUGUUGAGAGGGCAUUUGGAGCUCUGAAGAACGGGUUUAAGAUCCUAGAUCGGAAGACAUUCCACCCUUACCCUACCCAGGUGAAGCUUGUUCUUGCAUGUUGCGUCAUUCACAACUGGAUCCUACAAUGGGGAGUUGAUAAAUUUGUGCCGGAGGAGGAAGUUGCGACUCCAUAUGAGGUGGUCAGCUCCGACCAUGGUGUGGAGGCAUUCGACAACGAAGCAUGGAAAAACAGAAGGUUGGAGUGGGCUUAGGCAAUGUGUGAUAACAGAGGUCGGACAAGGAUGUGA
rnacentral:rRNA from 1 species